rnacentral:rRNA from 1 species
AUUGAACGCUGGCGGCAGGCCUAACACAUGCAAGUCGAGCGGAUGAAGGGAGCUUGCUCCUGGAUUCAGCGGCGGACGGGUGAGUAAUGCCUAGGAAUCUGCCUGGUAGUGGGGGAUAACGUCCGGAAACGGGCGCUAAUACCGCAUACGUCCUGAGGGAGAAAGUGGGGGAUCUUCGGACCUCACGCUAUCAGAGGAGCCUAGGUCGGAUUAGCUAGUUGGUGGGGUAAAGGCCUACCAAGGCGACGAUCCGUAACUGGUCUGAGAGGAUGAUCAGUCACACUGGAACUGAGACACGGUCCAGACUCCUACGGGAGGCAGCAGUGGGGAAUAUUGGACAAUGGGCGAAAGCCUGAUCCAGCCAUGCCGCGUGUGUGAAGAAGGUCUUCGGAUUGUAAAGCACUUUAAGUUGGGAGGAAGGGCAGUAAGUUAAUACCUUGCUGUUUUGACGUUACCAACAGAAUAAGCACCGGCUAACCUCGUG